GAAAGUAUAGCUCAGUGGUAUAAUGCAUGCUAGCAUAAGGUCUGGGUUCAAUUCCCAGUACUUCCA
rnacentral:tRNA from 1 species